GAUAAGUUUUAUAAGAAUUCGGAACGAGGUGAAGUUUUCGGUUCUGAAUGGAAAAGUUAAAAAAAAAAAUAAAAAAUAAGAAAAAAAGAAACAAAAGCAAUUUUAUCACCUUCGAACCAAUUGACACGACCCGCGAGAGUUAUAGCAAUCGUUCGAAUUGCAUCUUGAGUAAAGGUUUAUUAGUAUCAAGGGAGUUAGAUUGGAGAAAUCUUCUGGAUAUUGAUCCACUGCUUGGUUUUUCUACCGUGACUAUUCAAUUGAUUUCUCGCUUUUUUCCCUCGAUCCUUUCGAUUAGAACUUUGUACUUUACCUGACUGGAUGGUCUUGUCAAAAGUACUUACAUCCUGUAUAGAUAAGAAGUGGAGAACAAACACUAUUGGACGAUGGGAAGAAGAAGAAAGAGAGAGAGAGAGAGAGAAAAAAAAGGGAAGUUAGCACGGGUCAGGAGUUCAAUGAUGUGCAACUUUUUUCUACCAGCGGAGAGUCAAGGUGACCUUCGUUGUCAUUUGGCAUUCAGGUGAUUUAAAUAAUAGGAAUAAAUAUAACUGACACGGAUUUUUUUUUAUGUAUCAUCGAGAAGGCAUUUACAUAAAUGUGUAAGUGGAAGAGUCGUAUUGUCAGAAAUGGGAAUAAUUUCGAGUCAGUCUGGAUUAUAAACUGGUUUCAUUCAGAAGACGGGGGAUCUACUAUAAAAACCGAGAAUGUUGAAUGUUUAAAAUGGAUGCAGCACUUUGUUCUGCUCCGCUACACGUGACCAGCGUCUGGUCUCAGCUCAUUGGACCGUCCGCGAUUUGCAAUCCUGGGAUAGUAACAAAGUGCGCGGGGGAGAAGUAAAAAUCGUGCCUCCUGCUCUUAGUCUUUGUCCCGAGCAUUCAUUCGAUAUCCAUUAUCUGCCUCAGACUAGCGUGUAGUUUCGUAAUAUUAGAAUCGAAGUUUUGGUCAUUUGCAGCGUGGAACGACGAUCGGUAGCCAAGAGAGAGAUGGGAACUGGCGAUAUCCCCUUUGACCUUUCUUCUCCGCUCUUCCUCGCUGGCCCAUCUGUUGUGUGAGACCCAGCCAGACAAUCUGGCACACAUCAUUGAUCCAUUACCACUAGCAGAGGGGAGUCUAGACGGCGCUCGUGCAUUCAAAGAGGGAAGGCAACUAGAUCAAGGGCUGCAGCUCAGUCACGCAGAACCCAGGGGCAGGUCGCUGCUCCAACUAUUGUUAUGUUAAAAACCGCACAGCACUGUAUGUUCUGGGUGUGGUCGGGGCCACCUGUGUCUCUUGUGGAAAACGUGGCAGCGUGAGGGUGGAAAAGUUGCUUAGCCGGAGGCAGCGAGACCCGGUUCUGUCACUGCCAGUCAGCCGUGCGUGCUUAGUUGGUGCCAGGCAGCCGGACUGUAGAGUCGCGUCGCAGUGUUCACCUGUUACGUGUUCGAGUUACGCAGGUGCUGCACAUCGCAUCGCCAUGCUAAAAUGGAAUAGUGUACACCGACUUGGAUAAUCCUCGGAUUUUUACUAAACAUAGUAAGUACGACUUUUAAAAUCCGGCAAUUUUAAGUAUUAAAUGUGACCUCCACGCAGUGUUCUAGGAAAAAAAGACUGGCAAGGCCACUUUAUUCUCUCUCCUCUUUUCAGAACACGUUUCUGGCAGGAGUGGCUAAUGGUUCCUGAAUAUAGCCCGCAGUCACGAGAUGAGGAAUCGUUUCUUUUAAAAAAAAUCUUUACAGAUUUUCUCCCGACAAAAAUUCUGCUAAAUCGAUUUGACCUUCAACAGCAGUUACGUCUCCAAUUGCGUAAACGUAAUUGGAAUUAUAAAAUAAGUUGUAAAUCUUGGUGUCGUAUAAAUCGCAACCUGGCCUAGUUUAGUUCCAUUUAACGCUGUUAUUAAAAAAUAUAUAUAUAUAUUUUUUUACAGAAAAUUUUAUUUUUGCCCAUAUGCAUCGCUUACGACUUCUAUUGCAUGUAAUUUCCCAUACUUAUAGUUACAAA
rnacentral:lncRNA from 1 species